rnacentral:rRNA from 1 species
AGAGUUUGAUUAUGGCUCAGGAUGAACGCUGGCGGCGUGCCUAACACAUGCAAGUCGAGCGGAGAUAAGUUGAAGCCUAGCGAUUCUUAUCUUAGCGGCGGAUGGGUGAGUAACACGUGGGUAACCUGCCCUGUACUGGGGAAUAACAGCUGGAAACGGCUGUUAAUGCCGCAUAUGCGCACGGAGCCGCAUGACUCUGGGCGGAAAGAUUUAUCGGUACAGGAUGGGCCCGCGCCGGAUUAACUAGUUGGCGGGGUAACGGCCCACCAAGGUGAUGAUCCGUAGCCGACCUGAGAGGGUGACCGGCCACAUUGGGACUGAGACACGGCCCAAACUCCUACGGGAGGCAGCAGUGGGGGAUAUUGCACAAUGGGGGAAACCCUGAUGCAGCGACGCCGCGUGAAGGAUGACGUAUUUCGGUAUGUAAACUUCUAUCAGCGGGGAAGAAGAUGACGGUACCCGACUAAGAAGCCCCGGCUAACUACGUGCCAGCAGCAGC